rnacentral:misc_RNA from 1 species
UGGUUCUGGCAUCGAUGAAGAACGCAGCGAAAUGCGAUAAGUAAUGUGAAUUGCAGAAUUUUGUGAAUCAUCGAAUCUUUGAACGCACAUUGCACUUCUUGGUAUUCCGAGAAGUAUGCUUGUUCGAGCGUCGUUUCUACAAUAUUGGCCCAUUCUUUGUAUCAAUGUAUUGGGCUUUUUGAGUCAAAUCAAAGGCCCCAAAAGGAUUGAUAGCGAUCUGGACGAUCUUGCUGAAACGCAUAAAAUUUACUUCGUUUCUAUGCAGAUCACCAUAUCAGCCACAAACCAAUUAUUUUAUUAAAAUCGACCUCGGAUCAAGCAAGAAUACCCGCUGA